AGAUGGAUUGGUGCCUUCGGGAACUGUGAGACAGGUGCUGCAUGGCUGUCGUCAGCUCGUGUUGUGAAAUGUUGGGUUAAGUCCCGCAACGAGCGCAACCCUUAUCCUUUGUUGCCAGCGGUCCGGCCGGGAACUCAAAGGAGACUGCCAGUGAUAAACUGGAGGAAGGUGGGGAUGACGUCAAGUCAUCAUGGCCCUUACGACCAGGGCUACACACGUGCUACAAUGGCGCAUACAAAGAGAAGCGACCUCGCGAGAGCAAGCGGACCUCAUAAAGUGCGUCGUAGUCCGGAUUGGAGUCUGCAACUCGACUCCAUGAAGUCGGAAUCGCUAGUAAUCGUGGAUCAGAAUGCCACGGUGAAUACGUUCCCGGGCCUUGUACACACCGCCCGUCACACCAUGGGAGUGGGUUGCAAAAGAAGUAGGUAGCUUAACCUUCGGGAGGGCGCUUACCACUUUGUGAUUCAUGACUGGGGUGAAGUCGUAACAAGGUAACCGUAGGGGAACCUGCGGUUGGAUCACCUCCUUACCUUAAAGAAGC
rnacentral:rRNA from 1 species